rnacentral:piRNA from 1 species
CAGAAUUCUAAGGUACCAUCACGUUGUGU